rnacentral:rRNA from 1 species
GAUCAUGGCUCAGGGCGAACGCUGGCGGCGUGCUUAACACAUGCAAGUCGAACGAUGACGAUGGUGCUUGCACCGUCUGAUUAGUGGCGAACGGGUGAGUAACACGUGAGUAACCUGCCCUCCUCUUCGGGAUAACCGCCGGAAACGGUGGCUAAUACCGGAUAUGAAUGCCUGCCGCAUGGUGGGUGUUGGAAAGAUUUAUCGGUGGGGGAUGGACUCGCGGCCUAUCAGUUUGUUGGUGAGGUAAUGGCUCACCAAGGCGAUGACGGGUAGCCGGCCUGAGAGGGCGACCGGCCACACUGGGACUGAGACACGGCCCAGACUCCUACGGGAGGCAGCAGUGGGGAAUAUUGCACAAUGGGCGAAAGCCUGAAUGCAGCGACGCCGCGUGGGGGAUGACGGCCUUCGGGUUGUAAACCUCUUUCAGUAGGGAAGAAGCGAGAGUGACGGUACCUGCAGAAGAAGCGCCGGCUAACUACGUGCCAGCCGCGGC